rnacentral:rRNA from 2 species
AUGCAAGUCGAACGAACUCUGGUAUUGAUUGGUGCUUGCAUCAUGAUUUACAUUUGAGUGAGUGGCGAACUGGUGAGUAACACGUGGGAAACCUGCCCAGAAGCGGGGGAUAACACCUGGAAACAGAUGCUAAUACCGCAUAACAACUUGGACCGCAUGGUCCGAGUUUGAAAGAUGGCUUCGGCUAUCACUUUUGGAUGGUCCCGCGGCGUAUUAGCUAGAUGGUGGGGUAACGGCUCACCAUGGCAAUGAUACGUAGCCGACCUGAGAGGGUAAUCGGCCACAUUGGGACUGAGACACGGCCCAAACUCCUACGGGAGGCAGCAGUAGGGAAUCUUCCACAAUGGACGAAAGUCUGAUGGAGCAACGCCGCGUGAGUGAAGAAGGGUUUCGGCUCGUAAAACUCUGUUGUUAAAGAAGAACAUAUCUGAGAGUAACUGUUCAGGUAUUGACGGUAUUUAACCAGAAAGCCACGGCUAACUACGUGCCAGCAGCCGCGGUAAUACGUAGGUGGCAAGCGUUGUCCGGAUUUAUUGGGCGUAAAGCGAGCGCAGGCGGUUUUUUAAGUCUGAUGUGAAAGCCUUCGGCUCAACCGAAGAAGUGCAUCGGAAACUGGGAAACUUGAGUGCAGAAGAGGACAGUGGAACUCCAUGUGUAGCGGUGAAAUGCGUAGAUAUAUGGAAGAACACCAGUGGCGAAGGCGGCUGUCUGGUCUGUAACUGACGCUGAGGCUCGAAAGUAUGGGUAGCAAACAGGAUUAGAUACCCUGGUAGUCCAUACCGUAAACGAUGAAUGCUAAGUGUUGGAGGGUUUCCGCCCUUCAGUGCUGCAGCUAACGCAUUAAGCAUUCCGCCUGGGGAGUACGGCCGCAAGGCUGAAACUCAAAGGAAUUGACGGGGGCCCGCACAAGCGGUGGAGCAUGUGGUUUAAUUCGAAGCUACGCGAAGAACCUUACCAGGUCUUGACAUACUAUGCAAAUCUAAGAGAUUAGACGUUCCCUUCGGGGACAUGGAUACAGGUGGUGCAUGGUUGUCGUCAGCUCGUGUCGUGAGAUGUUGGGUUAAGUCCCGCAACGAGCGCAACCCUUAUUAUCAGUUGCCAGCAUUAAGUUGGGCACUCUGGUGAGACUGCCGGUGACAAACCGGAGGAAGGUGGGGAUGACGUCAAAUCAUCAUGCCCCUUAUGACCUGGGCUACACACGUGCUACAAUGGAUGGUACAACGAGUUGCGAACUCGCGAGAGUAAGCUAAUCUCUUAAAGCCAUUCUCAGUUCGGAUUGUAGGCUGCAACUCGCCUACAUGAAGUCGGAAUCGCUAGUAAUCGCGGAUCAGCAUGCCGCGGUGAAUACGUUCCCGGGCCUUGUACACACCGCCCGUCACACCAUGAGAGUUUGUAACACCCAAAGUCGGUGGGGUAACCUUUUAGGAACCAGCCGCCUAAGGUGGGA